rnacentral:tRNA from 1 species
GGAGAGAUGUCCGAGUCUGGCUGAAGGAACACGACUGGAAAUCGUGUAGGUGGCUAACCACCGCCUCGAGGGUUCGAAUCCCUCUCUCUCCGCCA